ensembl:misc_RNA Metazoa_SRP Metazoan signal recognition particle RNA
GCCGGGCAUGGUGGUGCAUGCCUGUAAUCCCAGCUACUCAGGAGGCUGAGACAGGAGAAUGGCUUGAGCUCAGGCAGAGCCUGCAGUGGGCCAGGGUUGUGCCACUGUACUCCAGCCUGGACAACAGAGUGAGACUCUGUCUCUC